rnacentral:lncRNA from 1 species
GAGUUGAUCUAGAGUAUUUGAAGUAUCUAGAAAAUAAAUUUUGUGAUUUUUUGAUAUCAUUUGCCUAGUGAUCGAAUGGGCUCAAAAUCAAUAAUUUUAACGGCCGUGGUGAGCCGUUUGCAAAUUUAACGGUGUAGAAAUAUCCAAAUCACAUGAAAUUUUGAUAGAAAAUUCUUUAUACCGUAUAAAACAAGAUCAAUAACUUUGAUCUAAAAUUUUAAUGUCAUAUCAUCAUAUUUUGUAAGAUUUUUAUUUUCAGCCGUUGAUUUUGAGCCACUUCGAUCACUAGGCAAAUGAUAUCGAAAAAUCACAAAAUUUAUUUUUGAGAUACUUCAAAUACUCUAGAUCAAGUCUAACGGAGGCGAUCAUCGAUUCGAAAGUCCAAAUAUCGAAAACAACUUGGAAGCACGGAGCGCUCCGUGCUUCCAGAAGCAUACCAGACGCACUCUAUAUAAGUAUUUGAAAACUAAAUUUCAUAAUUUUUUGACAUCAUUUGGCUAGUGAUCAAAAGGUCUCAAAAUUGACAAUUUUAAUGGUGGAUGUAAUGCGUUUGUGAAUUUAAUGAUGUAAAACAAUUUAAAUCUAAUGAAAUUUUUAUAGAAAUUUGUUUUCACUAUUUAGAGUAAGAUCAAUACCUCUGAUCUUAAAUUCAAAUCGUUUAUCAUCAUUUUUUAUGAGAUUUUUAUUUUCAGCCGUUCAUUUUAGAUUACUCGUUUGAUAGGUAAAUGAUGUCAAAAAAUUAUAAAAUUUAAUUUUCAAAUACUUUCAAUGAUAUAGAUCAAGUUUAACGAAGCUGAUCGUUGAUUUGGAAGCUAUAUCAUUGAAAAAACUUGGUAGCACGAAGGGCUCGAUGCUAUCGAUAGUAUACUAGCCUAGCUAU